CUGCCUGAGGCGUCAACAUGCCUGCCUGCAAUGUGUUUGUGCACGUGCGUGCACACGUGUAUGUGGGUAAACACAUCUGUGCACGUGUGUGUUGCUUCUCUGGCCAGGCCUGGCUGCCCCACUCAUGGCCUAGGGGAUGCCAAAUUCCAGGGUCCAGAAAGAGCUUGGGAUAAAAUGAAACUUCAAGGGGACGGCUUUGACCUGGGCUGAGUCUGCCUGUGCCGAGUCUGCCUGUGCCAUCCAACUGGAGUCUCAAGUCCUGAGGCAGGAUGUCCAGAUGCCCCAGUGCAGGGUCCUCCUGAUCAACACCUACUCCCCUGUACUCAUUAGCAACCUCACCCACCCUACUCUCAAAGCACACUUGGCUCUCAUAUCCAGGAGCUCUGCAUCUGUAGAUUCAGCAACAGCAGAUGGAAAAUAUUCAGAAAAUAAAUUGGACGGUUAUGUUUCUAUUGAA